CCCAUUGUCCUUCAGAGAUAGGGAUAUGAGACAUUCCUCCAUAGAACAGGCUUAACCAAUUUGGUUCUUGAGAUCUUGCUUGACCAAACUUCUACAAGAGUGCUGGCAUGCUGGAGUCAGCUAGAACUGGCUUGCCAGGGCGUAUCGUGUACACCUGUCCCCAACUCUGUUUCCAGCGACCUCAGCCUCCUUUCACAGAGCCUGAAUUUCAGUCAGCUGCUAUCAGUUGGCAAUGAUAAAAUUAUCUCUAUAUGGGCAAAUGUGUGCUCCUUAUCAUAAAAGAAAGCUUCAGCUUCAUGUUCCAGGUGAGUUAAAUAGACAAUGUAUGAAUGCGAAUAUCUCCUUCACAUAUUUUCCUUAAGAUUUGUCUUAGGACUUUUGUGUGACCCAUAUGGUUUUCCACAGGCAGAAGGGCCUCUUUUUGAUGAGAGGCAAUUUUCAGUAGGUCUUAAAGUGAUCCUAGCAAAGGAAAGAGAAGAAUAAGACAAAUCAAAAGAGGUCUUCAGUUGCUUCUUGGCUUUUGGCUAAGAUCAAGUGCAGAACACGUCUUGAAGGAGAAAAUAAACCACAAAGAAAAAGGAUGUUUUAUUUCUUACCUAGUCCUAGAGAAAAUUCCAUAAUCUCCAUUGGCUUAAUUCUGUAAACUUGACCAAUAUCAGGGUUCUUCCUACCACAGAGGGUAGCUGGUAAGCAUGGCCAUGGUACUUCCUAGAAGAAUGUGUGAUGAAGAAGCUUUCAGCCCAUAAAACAGUUAAAAAUUAUUCCAGUAGACAUUAUGGUCUUGGCCAUAAUUUAAGAACCAGUUUAAAGUAAUUUUUAUGUAGAACUUAGAGUCUAAUUCCUCAGCACAAUUCUUCUUCCCUCCUGAGUGUGGGCUGCUGGAGUGUCAGUUCCAAAUUCUUAUGCAUGAGUAAUCUCACCAUAUUCAGUAAUAUAUUCCUUUUAUGAGAAAGUAAUCAAGUACAAUAUAACUGAUGACUUUCUUGAUUCGGUAAUCAGUAAUUUGUGAUCAAUUUUACCUGAUGGUGACAGCUUGGUGUAUAAGUUAGUGCUAAUGUAUAUUACUGCAUUUCAUUUCUGUGGGGCCUGUCAGCAGAGCAAAGGAGGGGAACUGGGGAUGGAGAACUCCUCCCCCUUCAUCCAUAAGUGGCACACCACUAGGUUCCUGGUGUUAUUAAAGGAAAAUUGGAAAAGUUUCCAGAAGAUUAAGCAGAAAGCUUACAACUUGCACAAGACUCUCAAUUUUCCAGUGGCUCUGACAGAAGGAUAAAUCUUCGGCUGUUUUAACUAAAAUGGAUGGUCAAGUUGAUGUCCAUCAUGAAGCUAAAUGAAUAUCUGGACAGGAGUCGCAGAAAGGGAGGGAUAUUCCAGGGGAAGAUGGAGCAGCUGCAGGCCUAUCUGCUGCUCUAUAUCUGGAGAAGAGCCAGAAAGUAAGUGACGACAUGGAUAAGAUUCAAAGUAGCUGCUCCUUUACUUUCAUCCUGCAAUAUCAACCCCUCCCCUCAAAAAAGGGAUGAAGAAAAAAAAGAAAGAAAUUUUUUUUUUGUCUUGCUCUAACCGGGGACACACAAGAAAACUAUUUAUGGCAAAUGAAGUUCACUUAUCCAAGCUGGCACAUUACAAAGCCAUCACAUAAGCUUAGAAAAAUGGUAGAUGUUUAUAAAUGUCCCUUUAUAUGGCCAGGAAUGCAAUGGAAGGGCAGGAAA